AUAAUUAAAAUUUAAUUCAAUAAGUCCCAAAUAAUCCAAACAUACAUUUUGUCUAAGAAAAACUAAACUAAGUAAUUACAAUAAAAAUUGCUACAGAUGGAAAUAGGUUCCUAAUGACCAAAACCAAGCAAUUAGGAUGAAAUCACAUUGGACUUAGUCAUGAAAACAGGUUGUCUUGAAGCUUGAAGCAACCACCUUCCAUUCCAGCAGGUCAUCUCAGAGUUGUAAUGUAAUCUGCAGAGAACAAAAGUAACUUAUUUUAAAAUCACUUUUCAAAAGCACUUAGAGAGCUGAAAAACAACUAAAUGAAUCAUUCAGUUUGAAGCUUUAUCCAGCAGGUUAACAUGAAUACUCAAAAAAGCACUUUUGACAUUAGCUUAAAACAGAAUAAAUCAAUAGAAAUUAAAUCCCACAUAAUCUGGGAUGGGACAAAUGGAAAGAGGAGUUUUUUAGACUUAAGAAAUCCUUCAUAAACAGAUUCAAAAGGAGGUGAACAAAUAGAGACAGUAAGAUAUUUUUCUCAGGAUCCAAAAAACAAGAACCACAGAACAAGAUACACAACACGAAUUUUUUCUAAAACCCGAAACAAGAACGCACAACAAUAUUUCAAAGAGAACCUUAAAGAACCAACAGCAAAAACAUCCCGAACAGUUCUUUUUUCUUCGAAUCCAAACACAGCAAGAUACUUUCAAAAAAUCCUUAAAAAAAAAGUUAAUACAGCAAGAACAACGAAGCGAUUUUUUUGCAAACCCGGAACACAACAGCCAUAACAUUUCUCGAAAACCCUAAGAAUGAAAACAGAAG
rnacentral:lncRNA from 1 species